GCCCCUGUAGUUGAAUGGAUACAAUAUUGCGCUUCGAACGCAAAGUUGAGGGUUCGAUUCCUUCCAGGGGCACCA
rnacentral:tRNA from 3 species